rnacentral:rRNA from 1 species
UACGGAGGGUGCGAGCGUUGUCCGGAAUCACUGGGCGUAAAGGGCGCGUAGGCGGCUCAUGAAGGCUGUGGUGAAAGUCCGGGGCUCAACCUCGGAUCGGCCGUGGCGACUCGUGGGCUGGAGCGCUGUAGAGGCGGGUGGAAUUCCGGGUGUAGCGGUGGAAUGCGUAGAGAUCCGGAAGAACACCAGUGGCGAAGGCGGCCCGCUGGGCAGUGGCUGACGCUGAAGCGCGACAGCGUGGGGAGCAAACAGG